GUUUUUUUCUCGGCCUGCCUUUCUCUUCUCACCAAUAUCACCUCUUGGAAUUUCCAAUCUCCCUGUCUCCAUCUCCCACUUUCCCUCCUAUCCCAUCCUCGUUUUCCCCAAUCCCCUCUUCUCCCAACGUUCCCCACCUCACAAUAUUCCCUUUCUCUUUGUUUCUCCGUCCCCUCUCUGUUUUCCACCUCAUCCUCUUGUUUCCCUUUCC
rnacentral:lncRNA from 1 species